GGAUGAACGCUAGCGGCAGGCUUAACACAUGCAAGUCGAGGGGCAACACGGGUAGCAAUACCUGGUGGCGACCGGCGCAAGGGUGCGUAACGCGUGAGCAACAUGCCCUAUACAGGGGGAUAAUCCAGGGAAACUUGGUCUAAUAUCCCAUAGUAUUUAGAGGUGGCAUCACCACUAAAUUAAAGCUUCGGUGGUAUAGGAUUGGCUCGCGUGACAUUAGCUGGAUGGUGGGGUAACGGCUCACCAUGGCGAUGAUGUCUAGGGGUUCUGAGAGGAAGACCCCCCACACUGGAACUGAGACACGGUCCAGACUCCUACGGGGGGCAGCAGUGGGGAAUCUUCCACAAUGGGCGAAAGCCUGAUGGAGCGACGCCGCGUGAGCGAAGAAGGCCUUCGGGUUGUAAAGCUCUGUCUGGAGGGACGAAGGAAGUGACGGUACCUCCGGAGGAAGCCACGGCUAACUACGUGCCAGCAGCCGCGGUAAUACGUAGGGGGCUAGCGUUAUCCGGAAUUAUUGGGCGUAAAGGGCGAGUAGGCGGUUUGUUAAGUCAGGUGUGAAAUUUCAGGGCUCAACCCUGAAACUGCGCUUGAAACUGGCAGGCUAGAGGACAGGAGAGGGAAGUGGAAUUCCCGGUGUAGCGGUGAAAUGCGUAGAUAUCGGGAGGAACACCAGUGGCGAAGGCGGCUUCCUGGACUGUACCUGACGCUGAUGAGCGAAAGCUGGGGGAGCAAACAGGAUUAGAUACCCUGGUAGUCCCAGCUGUAAACGAUGAGUGCUAGGUGUGGGGGGCGACAAUCCUCCGUGCCGCAGUUAACGCAAUAAGCACUCCGCCUGGGGAGUACGGCCGCAAGGCUAAAACUCAAAGGAAUUGACGGGGGCCCGCACAAGCAGUGGAGCGUGUGGUUUAAUUCGAGGCAACGCGCAGAACCUUACCAGGGUUUGACAUCAUACCGACGUCUGUAGAAACACAGAUUUCCGCUUAGGCGGACGGUAUGACAGGUGUUGCAUGGUUGUCGUCAGCUCGUGUCGUGAGAUGUUGGGUUAAGUCCCGCAACGAGCGCAACCCUUGCCUUCAGUUACCAUCAUUAAGUUGGGGACUCUGGAGGGACCGCUGCGGUAACAACGCAGAGGAAGAUGGGGACGACGUCAAGUCAUCAUGGUCCUUAUGGCCGGGGCCACACACGUGCUACAAUGGCAGUUACAGAGGGAUGCGAUUCAGUAAUGAGGAGCGAAACUCAGAAAAGCUGCCGCAGUUCGGAUUGAGGUCUGCAACUCGGCCUCAUGAAGUCGGAAUCGCUAGUAAUCGCGCAACAUCAUGGCGCGGUGAAUACGUUCCCGGGCCU
rnacentral:rRNA from 1 species